UACGUAGGGUGCGAGCGUUGUCCGGAAUUAUUGGGCGUAAAGGGCUCGUAGGCGGUUUGUCGCGUCGGGAGUGAAAUCCACUGGCUUAACUGGUGGCUUGCUUCGAUACGGGCAGACUGGAGGUAUGCAGGGGAGAACGGAAUUCCUGGUGUAGCGGUGAAAUGCGCAGAUAUAGGAGGGAACACCGAUGGCGAAAGCAGGUACCUGGACCAU
rnacentral:rRNA from 1 species